ACCUGAGCUCCACCUUCUCAGAUGAGCAGCAGCGUUAGAUUCUCAUAGGAGAACGCACCCUGUUGUGAACCGUGCAUGUGAGGGAUCUAGGUUGCGCUGUCCUUAUGAGAGUCUAAUACCUAUUGAUCUGUCACUUUCUCCCAUCACGCUCAGGUGGGAACAUCCAGUUGCAGGAAAACAAGCUUAACACGCCCACUGAUUCUACAUUAUGCUCCUACCUCCCGGCAGCCUCUCCAGGCCCAGAACUUUCUCCAGUCAGCCUCUACAGACCAAGCUCAUGACUCACAAUGGCCUAUUUAGGCCCAUACCCUACGUCACGGCAGCCUCCGCAGAUGAGGCUACUGCCUCACAACAGCCUCCACAGGCACAGCUCCAUCGUUACAAUGGCCUCUUUAGACCCAGCUCCUGCCUCCCAGCCUUCUCUCCAGGCCCUGAACAUUCUCAGGUCUCCCUCUGUUGUCCAAGGCUGGAGUGUAGUAGUGCUAUCGCAGCUGACUGCAGCCUCAACCUUCCAGGCUGAAGCGAUCCUCCCACCUCAACCUCCCACGUGGCUGAGACUACAGGUGCUUGCCACUAUGCCCAACUAAUAUUUGGAAUUUUCGUAUACGUGGAUUCCAGAGGGGUGACAGCAAAACGUGGGAACAUCCAGUUGCAGGAAAACAAGCUUAACACGCCCACUGAUUCUACAUUAUGCUCCUACCUCCCGGCAGCCUCUCCAGGCCGAGAACUUUCUCCAGUCAGCCUCUACAGACCAAGCUCAUGACUCACAAUGGCCUAUUUAGGCCCAUACCCUACGUCACGGCAGCCUCCGCAGAUGAGCCUACUGCCUCACAACAGCCUCCACAGGCACAGCUCCAUCGUUACAAUGGCCUCUUUAGACCCAGCUCCUGCCUCCCAGCCUUCUCUCCAGGCUCUGAACUUUCUCAGGUCUCCCUCUGUUGUCCAAGGCUGGAGUGUAGUAGUGCUAUCGCAGCUGACUGCAGCCUCAACCUUCCAGGCUGAAGCGAUCCUC
rnacentral:lncRNA from 1 species